rnacentral:snRNA from 1 species
GUGUUCACUUCAGCAGCACAUAUAUUAAAAUUGGAAUGAUAUAGAGAUUAGCAUGGCCCUUUUACAGAGAUGACAUGCAAAUUGUUGAAAUGUUCUAUAUAUUU